rnacentral:rRNA from 1 species
ACGAACGCUGGCGGCGUGCUUAACACAUGCAAGUCGAACGGAAAGGCCCUGCUUUUGUGGGGUGCUCGAGUGGCGAACGGGUGAGUAACACGUGAGUAACCUGCCCUUGACUUUGGGAUAACUUCAGGAAACUGGGGCUAAUACCGGAUAGGAGCUCCUGCUGCAUGGUGGGGGUUGGAAAGUUUCGGCGGUUGGGGAUGGACUCGCGGCUUAUCAGCUUGUUGGUGGGGUAGUGGCUUACCAAGGCUUUGACGGGUAGCCGGCCUGAGAGGGUGACCGGCCACAUUGGGAAUGAGAUACGGCCCAGACUCCUACGGGAGGCAGCAGUGGGGAAUAUUGCACAAUGGGCGGAAGCCUGAUGCAGCAACGCCGCGUGCGGGAUGACGGCCUUCGGGUUGUAAACCGCUUUCGCCUGUGACGAAGCGUGAGUGACGGUAAUGGGUAAAGAAGCACCGGCUAACUACGUG